rnacentral:rRNA from 1 species
AUUGAACGCUGGCGGCAGGCCUAACACAUGCAAGUCGAACGAGUGGCGGACGGGUGAGUAAUGUCUGGGAAACUGCCUGAUGGAGGGGGAUCACUACUGGAAACGGUAGCUAAUACCGCAUACCAUCGGAUGUGCCCAGAUGGGAUUAGCUAGGAGGUGGGGUAAAGGCUCACCUAGGCGACGAUCCCUAGCUGGUCUGAGAGGAGGACCAGCAACACUGGAACGGAGACACGGUCCAGACUCCUACGGGAGGCAGCAGUGGGGAAUAUCCGACAAUGGGCGAAAGACUGAUGCAGCCAUGCGGCGUGUAGGAAGAAGGCCUUCGGGUGGUAAAGUACUUUCAGCGGGGAGGCGUUACCCGCAGAAGAAGCACCGGCUAACUCCGUGCCAGCCGCCGCGGUAAUUC